rnacentral:rRNA from 1 species
AUUGAACGCUGGCGGCAUGCCUUACACAUGCAAGUCGAACGGCAUCGCGGGAAAGCUUGCUUUCCUGGCGGCGAGCGGCGAACGGGUGAGUAACACAUCGGAACGUACCGGCUAGUGGGGGAUAACCCGUCGAAAGACGGGCUAAUACCGCAUACGCUCUUCGGAGGAAAGCAGGGGACCUUUGGGCCUUGCGCUAGCCGAGCGGCCGAUGUCCGAUUAGCUAGUUGGUGGGGUAAAGGCCUACCAAGGCGACGAUCGGUAGCGGGUCUGAGAGGACGAUCCGCCACACUGGGACUGAGACACGGCCCAGACUCCUACGGGAGGCAGCAGUGGGGAAUCUUGGACAAUGGGGGCAACCCUGAUCCAGCAAUGCCGCGUGGGUGAAGAAGGCCUUCGGGUUGUAAAGCCCUUUCGGCAGGGAAGAAAUCGGCGGGGCGAAUAACCCUGCUGGAUGACGGUACCUGCAGAAGAAGCACCGGCUAACUACGUG